AUGCCCUGCAGCCCGGCUGCUGUCGUUCUGCUGCUGCUGCUGCCCGGAGCUGCUCGGGCACAGCUGAGGAUCCGACAGAGCCCGGCGCAGCUCUGGGUCCGCCCCGGGCGCACAGCAGAGCUGAACUGCAGCACUGAUAGUGGCUGGAAUGUGGAUCGGCACCGGACUGUGAGUUGGUACCGGGAGCAGCCGGGCAGCAGAUUGCAGUUCAUCUACCCGAGCCCGGAUUCCUCACGUUCAGAGGGAAAAUACUCCCAGAUGAGGAGAGCGAAGGGAUUGUUUUCCUUUUACAUCAACUCUGCGCAACGGGAGGACUCCGGCUUUUAUUACUGCGCUUCCACCUCUGAGCCCUUUGAGUUUGGGGAUGGGACCAGGUUGGUGGUCACAGACGCCACAGAGCCCACCCUCUCCAUCCUGCUGCCCUUGGAUGCGGAGCUCCGUGAGCCACCCCGGGCUGCCAUCCCUCUGCUCUGCCACCUCUACGACGCCCCCAAGGGAUGGGACACCGUCCGCUGGCACCACGGCAAUGUCAGCCCGGUGAUGGCCACCUCCAUGGAUGGACGCGGUGUCCUCAGCGCCUGGAGCCUCACCUGGCUCACAGCUGAGCAGUGGGACGGCACCGUGGGCUGCACAGCCGUGCAGAGCAGCACAGGCAGGACCAUCACCGUGACCAUCAGGCAGCCCAGCAGCACAGCACAGUGCCUGCAGUGGCUGCCGGUCGUUUUGCUGCCCUCAGUCCUCACCAUCGCCGUCCAACUGAUGCUGCAGCUCUGCAGAAAGACCCACACUGGGGGUCCCGGUGCCCCACAGCCCCCCCAGCAGUGCAGACACCCACGGCCAUCCCAUAGAGCUGCAGGAUGGAGCCAGGAGACCGAGUAUGCAAUGGUGGCACUGAGAGCCCCUUCCCCACGUGUGCAGUGAGAAAGAAAGCAAGAAAAGGGCGACCACAGAGAACGGCUCAGGGCGAUGGGACCCCAAUGGGCAGCAGCUCUGCACUGUGGGGGUCUGCAGCUCUAUGGGAUCUCUGCAAACAAAAUGGGGGUUUGGGGGAAAUCUCCACCGUAUCUGCAAUACGGUCCCAUCCGUAUUGGGGUGUGCAGCCCCACAGCCCCGGGGUGCUGAGCUCCACACUGUUGGUUCCUCACUCUGUGGGAAGGGCUUUCAGCAGGAAAUGUGUUCCUCUUCUGUCACAUCCGAAGUGAACGACGGGGGGGGGGGGGGGGGGGUGGGGGGGGGUGAUGAGUGACGGCAUUACCCCCAUGCAGACCUCUGGAAAAGCCCAUUGAUGGCUUUUCUCAGCCCAAAGUGAAAGUGCUCUGGAAAAGAACUAUGCUCCCCAUGCAGUGCCAAUGCCCAGCGCACCCCGAGCAGCCCCAGACCCCCUCCAGCCCCCCUCCAGCCCCCCUCCAUGCCCCCUAAGAGCCCUUCACCCCCUCCAUGCCCCCUAAGAGCCCCCCAGCCCCCCUCCACGCCCCUUAAGAGCUCUAUGGGAUUCUGCUAUGGGUGGCAAUGCACUGCUUCCCAGCCCAAUCUCCAGCCCAUCCCCACCAUCACCAGGUCAUGCCUUCUGCUACCCCGUACGACAGCUAUGAGGAAAUGCCAUUAAACAGGGAAAAGUCCUUUUAAAACUCAGGAAUGAAGCAGAGCUCAGUUUCUCUCCACCUCCUGCUCACUGCGCGGCAGCACGGAGCUCCCCUGGCACACACUGGGGAUGCUCACGGUGCUCCCCAUCCUCAGGUCCCCCACUUCUCCUUUGCCCCACACACUGUGCUGAGUGCAUCCCCUUUCCUCCCUGCUUUCCCAUUCCUGCGGAGCGAUCCUGUAUGGGAAGUUGCUCCCAAGCAUUGGGGCUGAACUGUGGAGCUGUGGGAAAGCCCUGAGUGCUUCCGUGCGAUGCUGAGCAGCUGCCCCUGGGGGAGAAAAAGGGAAACGAAUGCAUUCCAGCCUGGAAACCACCCGGGAGUGAGCAGGGCUGUGUUUAAUUAAGAGAGAACAGGCAGCGCUUGCAAAGCAUAUGGCUCCAAUGUGCGGUUUCAGGGCUGAGCCCCAACGGUGCAGAGCUGCUCUCGGUGCCCAUCUGACCCUAAAAGCUGUCACAGAGCAGCGUGGAGUGGAGACGGUGCUGCGAGCGCAGCCACCCCCGCGUGCAGCGGAUGUGGGCACGGAGAGUGGGAACCUGCAGCGCUCUGCUGUUGGUGCUUCUUAAAAUAAGAAUUACCAUUUAAAAUGGCUUUUUUUUUUUUCACUCCCAGCAUCCGCACUCGCCCCGCUCAGCCCAGCCCAAAGCACCGCUGUUUACAAAGCAUCAGAGAAGGGCAGGAAAGCUCUGCUUAGGGGACAAAUUCCUGCAGGAAAGAGCAGAAAUCUCUGAGAGAUGCAGUGGGAAGAGUGCUCAGCUCUGUGCCCACCGGUCCCAGUUACAGCAUGUCCCCGUCCCCAUCCCCACCCAUCCCACCCCACCCCAUCCCCAUCCCCAUCCCUAUCCCUAUCCCUAUCCCUAUCCCUAUCCCUAUCCCUAUCCCUAUCCCUAUCCCUAUCCCUAUCCCUAUCCCUAUCCCUAUCCCUAUCCCUAUCCUUAUUCCUAUCCCCAUCCCAUCCCCAUCCCCAUCCCCAUCCCAUCCCCAUCCCCUCCCCAACCCAUCCCCACCCCAUCCCCAUCCCCACCCCAUCCCCAUCCCCACCCCAUCCCCAUUCCCAUCCCCAUCCCAUCACUGCUGGAGGAAUGGCCCCAGGUUUCCUCCCCGCGGUGUCCCAUAGGAGCAGCUCCAUCCAUCCACCUCACCCCACAGCGGCUGCUUCCGCAGGAAUCCUGAUAAUAUCAUUGUGAGCAGGACGGCCUCGUUUGCCCACUUGGUGAUUUUAAUCUCCCUUCGAGGUUUGCUUCCUCCUAUGGAAGGUGGGAAAUGAUGCAAUGCUUCAGGCAGAGGAUGGGAUCGUGCACGCCUUCCUGCUCCAUCUGCAGCAAAGAGCCCCAACCACGACCCAAACAGAUAGUCCUGGGGGGUCCCUUACAAAGCACUGCCCCCAUCAUUGGGUGCCUCUCCACCCCUCAGCCUUUUGCACAUUGAUUUUAGCAUAGGAGCUUUAAUACACAAAGAGACCUAAAAGUGCACAGCUUACAUAAAAUGGGGAUGGGGAAAGCGUUGGGUUUGGCCACAUUUCUUGGCUGCCUUUUGGAUGAUGCUGUUGUUCUCUGUUACAAUUGGGUAAGAAUGAACCUCAAGGGAAGAAGCUGAAACCCAAAGCACGGAGGGAGUGCUGUAUUCCUCCAGCCAGAAAACCUGCAUGAGUGUUGUAAGCAAAAAUGGUUCAGUGGUGUUGGGUGGGAGGCAGGAGAUCCUGAGCUCUGUGGGCUUUGCUCUCACAGGGGGCACUGGCAGCAGCACCUAGAGCAGCUGAGAGCAACCCCGGGGUGCAACCCCUGAGUGCAACCCCGGGGUGCAACCCUUGAGUGCAACCCUUGAAUGCAACCCCUGAGUGCAACCCUUGGGUGCAACUCCUGAGUGCAACCCCUGAGUGCAACCCCUGAGUGCACCCCCUUGGUGCAACCCCUGAGUGCAACCCUUGAGUGCAACCCUUGGGUGCAACUCGUGUGUGCAACCCCUGAGUGCACCCCUUGGUGCAACCCCUGAGUGCAACCCUUCAGCGCAACCCCUGAGUGCAACCCUUGAGUGCAACCCCUGGGCACAGAGCUCCUUUUACAUCUGCACGUGAGCAGGGAAAGCAAUGCACUCAGCCCCAAAACAAACGUGGUGCCAAGAGUCUGCUCGCCCUGCUGCACUUCUCUAUUGCCCCAAAGAAAUCCCAAUUUCAUCGAUUUCCCCCAUCAGCAUUGUGCUGCAUGCUCAGCUGUGAUUGUGACACCCUCAGAUUGCAACAACCCCAACCCCAAGCCAGCAAAAAUCCCUCUGAAUCCAGCCUUGAGGCUUUGCCAGGAGCACUCCUUCCCACUCCAUCAGUCCUUCUGAUGAAAGCCACCAGAAUCCUCACGGAUGUGCCUCCCACCAGCUCCAAAAACAUAAAGUUUUAACUCUUUUCUGGCUCCCACGCUGCUGACACAGCUCCCAGCCCCGUCCCGCUGGGAUUCCUCCCUGCUGGAAACUGAUAAUGGAUUUUGGCCACGGCUGAAGUUUGG
rnacentral:lncRNA from 7 species